GAGACGGAGAUCUAGCUGACAUCCAGAAGCAGAGGAGACCAGGAACCAGAACAGAUCUCAUCUGUGCAGAGACUUGUGAGCCAUGCCUGCUGUUGUGGUAGCUGUCAGCCUUUUCCUGGUGGUUCUGUUGUCUAUGCCAGACUCUGGUGCUGGAUGGAUGACACAUUCAUGGAAGCAUUACUGUUGGAAAAAAAUUCCAGAUGACAGGUGCACGAAUGGAUGGCGCAGGCUGGAUCUUUAUCGCUGUAUCAAGGUUUUCUUUAAAGCAAAAACCUAUUACAAUGCAGAGCAUCACUGUUUGAAAUUCAAGGGAAACCUGGU